rnacentral:rRNA from 1 species
UACACAUGCAAGUCGAGCGGCAGCGGGAAGUAGCUUGCUACUUUGCCGGCGAGCGGCGGACGGGUGAGUAAUGUCUGGGAAACUGCCUGAUGGAGGGGGAUAACUACUGGAAACGGUAGCUAAUACCGCAUGACCUCGCAAGAGCAAAGUGGGGGACCUUCGGGCCUCACGCCAUCGGAUGUGCCCAGAUGGGAUUAGCUAGUAGGUGGGGUAACGGCUCACCUAGGCGACGAUCCCUAGCUGGUCUGAGAGGAUGACCAGCCACACUGGAACUGAGACACGGUCCAGACUCCUACGGGAGGCAGCAGUGGGGAAUAUUGCACAAUGGGCGCAAGCCUGAUGCAGCCAUGCCGCGUGUAUGAAGAAGGCCUUCGGGUUGUAAAGUACUUUCAGCGGGGAGGAAGGCGUUGUGGUUAAUAACCACAGCGAUUGACGUUACCCGCAGAAGAAGCACCGGCUAACUCC